UAAAGGGGCCAGCGAACCCCGCCCCUUGCCUAGACUCCGCCUCCCUCGUCCUGCGCAGCCAAUCCGCGUUCAUCAUGGAUGUGCACCCCUCCCACCUCCUCCAGAUGUUCCCAGGACAAGAGCUAAGUCUGCCCGGCCGGCGCGCGCCGCUUCCGCUCGGGUGGGGAGGGCCUCCCCUCCCCCUAUGGAGAAACACUCUCGUCAGGCCUUCCUUGGCCUGUUACACACCUUCCCAGCGUCGCCAUCGUGAACCCCGGGCUGUGCCGAGCAGGGUAGAAUGGGGCCGUCUGCAGAGAGAAAACUUAAAGUGGAAAAUAGAAGUUUAUUAAAGGACAGCAGAAAAGACUUCUCCUGGAGGAAGAAGGGGACCCAAGAAGUGGAAUCCAUGGAAGUGUGUCCCGUCCGGCAGGACACAUCAACGUGGGCAGCGAACCUAGAUGGGGAGGAAUGAAGGGACAAGAGACACGAAAGGAGACAGCAAGACAGGUGUCUGAUCAAGCUGCCACUUAUACUAUUUUCUUUUUGUCAUAUAAUUAUCUUCUAUGUGUGAAUUCUUUUCAAAAGUGAUUCAGGGAUCAGAUGCCCUGAAGAGUAGAAGGCUUCGGUCCCAACUAGUGUUGCCAAAGCAGCAUACUAAUUCCAUGCCAUGGUCCUGGGUCAAGAUCUGCACAAUCUGAUUGGCCAUAUCACCUCGGAUGGCAAGGGAAUGGAAGUGAUCAAAAUCAUGGAGUCCCAGCUUUCGGAGACGCCUUGCAGCUGCUCGGUAACACUUCCAAGGCUGUGGCUCCACAAGGAGGUAGCGGCAGAGGGAGGAAAGAUGGGCCAGGAACUCCCACAGGCCAUGGUCCCCAUGGUUAAGAUGAAUCCACAUGGUUAUUGACAUACAGAAGCCAAUGUCAAAAACUGAACGUCCAAAUUGACUUAAGAAGGAGCUCAAGAGAACCUUCCGGGUCCUUUGAUUCAUGAAGUCCAGGGUGAUAAAAUUCAAGCCAUCAGGAAAAGGACAUUCUUUUUUAGCUCGCUCCACCAGGACUGGAUCUAUGUCACAGCAUAGGAGACGGAGUUCUCUGGGGGCAUCUGAGCAGUUCUCCCCAUCAUGUAAGGAAAGGAAGUGUUUGUAUAGAGCCACACUCAGAUCCUAGAGGAAUCCAAAAGAGUCAUUGCAGUAUUCAACAUUGAAUGGAAGACAAAUCUCUCAUCCUCUAAGACUGCCAUACUUACUUCUGGCUUUAUAGGAUGUGAGCCUCCUAAUUAUAACCUACAGAGGUUGUAGUUUUUCUUGAGCAGACUCUCAGCACCCUCCAGGGGUCAUAGACUGUAAAUGCACUAUCCCUAUAUUUUCUUGAUAACUGCUGGUUGGGUUGUAUGGUUCAAAGUGAUAGUUCAAUGAUACUGCAAAGGAGCCUAGAGCAAUAAAUAAUAUGCUGGUAAACACAUCUUUAAAUAUA